AAAACGACUCUCGGCAACGGAUAUCUCGGCUCACGCAUCGAUGAAGAACGUAGCAAAAUGCGAUACUUGGUGUGAAUUGCAGAAUCCCGUGAAUCAUCGAGUUUUUGAACGCAAGUUGCGCCCGAAGCCAUCCGGUUGAGGGCACGUCUGCCUGGGCGUCACGU
rnacentral:rRNA from 1 species